rnacentral:rRNA from 1 species
UACGAAGGGGGCUAGCGUUGCUCGGAAUCACUGGGCGUAAAGCGCACGUAGGCGGCUUCUUAAGUCAGGGGUGAAAUCCUGGAGCUCAACUCCAGAACUGCCUUUGAUACUGAGGAGCCUGAGUCCGGGAGAGGUGAGUGGAACUGCGAGUGUAGAGGUGAAAUUCGUAGAUAUUCGCAAGAACACCAGUGGCGAAGGCGGCUCACUGGCCCGGUACUGACGCUGAGGUGCGAAAGCGUGGGGAGCAAACAGG